rnacentral:snoRNA from 1 species
GAUUACAGGCUGAGCCAGGGAUCAUUUCUGUAGUUUGUUACUAAAGAAGUUUGUCUGACUGAGCACCAGAAACCACAAAGAGGAGGCAUAGCGUUCUCUCCUAAGUGCGAACCAGCUUUUGAUGCUGUUUCACUGCAACUGCCAUUUGCUAUUGAUGAUUGUUCUUCUUUUCCUCUGGGAGAGUAAGAAGGAGAGGGUACAGUGUGAGUGGU